rnacentral:tRNA from 1 species
UCCCCAGUGGUCCAGUGGUUAAAACUUUGCUUUCCAAUGCAGGGGGUGCAGGUUCGAUCCCUGGUUGGGGAA